CGUCCGGGUGAGUAACGCGUGGGUAAUCUACCCUUUGGUGGGGAAUAACCAAUCGAAAGGUUGGCUAAUACCGCAUAAUGCGCUUUCGCGAUAUCGUGGAAGUUGUUAAAGUAUUUAUAUACCAAAGGAUGAGCCUGCGUCUGAUUAGCUUGUUGGUGGGGUAAUGGCCUACCAAGGCUUCGAUCAGUAGCUGGUCUGAGAGGACGGCCAGCCACAAUGGCACUGAAAUACGGGCCAU
rnacentral:rRNA from 1 species